GUGCCCGUAGCUCAACUGGAUAGAGCACAUGACUUCGGAUCAUGGUGUUGGGGGUUCAAGUCCUCUCGGGCGCG
rnacentral:tRNA from 1 species